AUCUCUUACGUAGCGUUAGAAUCUUGUAAAGAAAUUGCGAUAUAAGGACCGUUUUCUAUUGCGUCUACGCAACGGACUCGUAUUAGAAGAAGAGAACACCUCCUAGAAGAAAAAAAAGAAGAAGAAGAAGAAGAAGAAGAACGUUCGAAACGAUCUCGAGAAACAAAAUCACGAUUAUUUAUAUUUCCAUUUCUCGGUCAUUUUUUAGUUACGCUUAGGUGAUCAAAGUUCCGCCGGAAGUCGAAUUAAAUUACCUUGGUGGAAGUAAAUUUGAGCGGAAGUGCACGAAAUAGAUGCUCGAUGCAACAGAUCGAAGCGACUGUAUUGUUAUCCAGGAAAUAGAAUAUUCGUAUAAACAUAGAAGAGGGUAAAAGAGUGGGAGGUGGUAAACAAUGAAAAAAAAAAAAAAUUUUGUAAAAAUGAAUAACCCGGAUGUUCGCAAAAUAUUCAAAGAUUAUCGGACAUCAUCGGUGAAAAUAUUGAAAAAACAUCGUCUUAGAUAAAAUUUAUCACGAUGGACCAUAAUAUCGUCUUCGUUACCAAGAGUGGAAAGUGCAACAACCAACAGGGACACACCUAAAUAAGGGCGAGGCCUUCGAAAGGGUGUGUCUCCCACAUUUUUAUUUCUUUUCGACCCUCCGAUGGUCACGCCAGAAGAAUUCAACCCCUAAUGGAAUAAUCAUUUUAAAUGGAUCCACCGACGUAUUAAUAAAUAGAUCAACGAGAUGAUCAUACCACUUUGUUUUGUUUUGUUUAAAUACCUACAUCUCGUCUAGGUAUAAUCUAUC